GGAUAACAGUUGGAAACGACCGCUAAUACCGCAUAAGCCGGAGGGAUCGCAUGAUUCGGCCGGAAAAGAUUUAUCGGUGUGAGAUGGACCCGCGUCUGAUUAGCCAGUUGGCAGGGUAACGACCUACCAAAGCGACGAUCAGUAGCCGGCCUGAGAGGGUGAACGGCCACAUUGGGACUGAGACACGGCCCAAACUCCUACGGGAGGCAGCAGUGGGGAAUAUUGCACAAUGGGGGAAACCCUGAUGCAGCGACGCCGCGUGAGUGAAGAAGUAUUUCGGUAUGUAAAGCUCUAUCAGCAGGGAAGAAAAUGACGGUACCUGACUAAGAAGCCCCGGCUAACUACGUGCCAGCAGCCGCGGUAAUACGUAGGGGGCAAGCGUUAUCCGGAUUUACUGGGUGUAAAGGGAGCGUAGACGGCCAGACAAGUCAGAAGUGAAAGCCCAGGGCUCAACUCUGGGACUGCUUUUGAAACUGCCGGGCUGGAGUGCAGGAGAGGUAAGCGGAAUUCCUAGUGUAGCGGUGAAAUGCGUAGAUAUUAGGAGGAACACCAGUGGCGAAGGCGGCUUACUGGACUGUAACUGACGUUGAGGCUCGAAAGCGUGGGGAGCAAACAGGAUUAGAUACCCUGGUAGUCCACGCCGUAAACG
rnacentral:rRNA from 1 species